AAGCCGUGGAUUAGAUAGUAAUAUCUACUGGUAGGGGAGCAUUCCAUUUGCGCCGAAGCAGUGUCGUGAGGCAUUGUGGAGCGGAUGGAAAAGCAAAUGUAGGCAUAAGUAACGACAAUGCGGGUGGGAAACCCGCACGCCGUAAAGCUAAGGUUUCCUGAUCAACGUUAAUCGGAUCAGGGUUUGCCGGGGCCUAAGAAAAAGCCGCAAGGCGUAUUCGAUGGAUAGCAGGUUAAUAUUCCUGCGCUCACCAUGCGAUAAAAGUGACGGAGUCCCCAUAUUGCUACGUACUGACGGAAUAGUACGUUGAGCCUAGCCCUCGGGUGAAGCGAAGCAGGGCAAGGGCUUCCAAGAAAAGCGAGCAUGGUACCCGUACCGUAAACCGACACAGGUAGCUGAGGAGAGUAUCCUAAGGCGCUCGAGUGAUUCAUGGCUAAGGAACUAGGCAAAAUAACCCCGUAACUUAGGGAGAAGGGGAUCCCGCGCAAGCGGGACGCAGAGAAAUGGCCCAUGCGACUGUUUAUCAAAAACACAGGGCUAUGCAAAAUCGAAAGAUGACGUAUAUGGCCUGACACCUGCCCGGUGCUGGAAGGUUAAGUGGGGGGCUUAUCGCAAGGGAAGGCCUGAAAUGAAGCCCCAGUAAACGGCGGCCGUAACAAUAACGGUCCUAAGGUAGCGAAAUUCCUUGUCGGGUAAGUUCCGACCUGCACGAAUGGUGUAACGAUGUGGGCACUGUCUCGGCCAUGAGCUCGGUGAAAUUGUAGUAUCGGUGAAGAUGCCGAUUACCCGCAACGGGACGGAAAGACCCCGUGAACCUUUACUGCAGCUUCACAUUGAUUCUGGGUAAGUGAUGUGUAGGAUAGGACGGAGGCUGCGAAGCGGUUUCGCUAGGAAUCGUGGAGCCAUCCUUGAAAUACGUCCCUUUGCUUACUUGGAACCUAAUUCCGAUUUAUCGGAAGACAGUGUGUGGUGGUAGUUUGACUGGGGUGGUCGCCUCCAAAAGCGUAACGGAGGCUCCUAAAGGUACCCUCAAGGCGAUUGGUAACCGCCUGCAGAGUGUAAUGGCACAAGGGUGCUUGACUGUGAGACAGACAGGUCGAUCAGGUACGAAAGUAGAGCAUAGUGAUCCGGUGGUCCCGAAUGGAAGGGCCAUCGUUCAAAGGAUAAAAGGUACUCCGGGGAUAACAGGCUGAUCGCUCCCAAGAGCUCAUAUCGACGGAGCGGUUUGGCACCUCGAUGUCGGCUCGUCACAUCCUGGGGCUGGAGAAGGUCCCAAGGGUUCGGCUGUUCGCCGAUUAAAGUGGCACGCGAGCUGGGUUCAGAACGUCGUGAGACAGUUCGGUCCCUAUCUGUUGUGGGCGUUGGAGAUUUGAGGGGACCUGCCGCUAGUACGAGAGGACCGCGGUGGACACACCUCUAGUGUACCGGUUGUGGCGCCAGCUGCAUCGCCGGGUAGCUAUGUGUGGAACAGAUAAGCGCUGAAAGCAUCUAAGCGCGAAGCUGACCUCAAGAUGAGAUCUCCUUUAAGGGCCGUCAGAGACGAUGACGUUGAUAGGCUGCAGGUGUAAAGACGGUAACGUCAAAGCCGAGCAGUACUAAUUGCCCG
rnacentral:rRNA from 1 species